AACAAACAAUGUUUUGGUGUCCA
rnacentral:siRNA from 1 species